UACGUAGGGGGCAAGCGUUGUCCGGAAUCAUUGGGCGUAAAGAGCGUGUAGGCGGCUCGAUAAGUCUGCUGUGAAAUCCCUCGGCUUAACCGGGGAACUGCGUCUGAUACUGGUUGGCUUGAAUCCGGGAGAGGGAUGUGGAAUUCCAGGUGUAGCGGUGAAAUGCGUAGAUAUCUGGAGGAACACCGGUGGCGAAGGCGGCAUCCUGGACCGGUAUUGACGCUGAGGAGCGAAAGCCAGGGGAGCAAACGGG
rnacentral:rRNA from 1 species